rnacentral:rRNA from 1 species
AUUGAACGCUGGCGGCAGGCUUAACACAUGCAAGUCGAGCGGAGAGAGGUAGCUUGCUACUGAUCUUAGCGGCGGACGGGUGAGUAAUGCUUAGGAAUCUGCCUAUUAGUGGGGGACAACAUUUCGAAAGGAAUGCUAAUACCGCAUACGUCCUACGGGAGAAAGCAGGGGAUCUUCGGACCUUGCGCUAAUAGAUGAGCCUAAGUCGGAUUAGCUAGUUGGUGGGGUAAAGGCCUACCAAGGCGACGAUCUGUAGCGGGUCUGAGAGGAUGAUCCGCCACACUGGGACUGAGACACGGCCCAGACUCCUACGGGAGGCAGCAGUGGGGAAUAUUGGACAAUGGGCGGAAGCCUGAUCCAGCCAUGCCGCGUGUGUGAAGAAGGCCUUAUGGUUGUAAAGCACUUUAAGCGAGGAGGAGGCUACUUUAGUUAAUACCUAGAGAUAGUGGACGUUACUCGCAGAAUAAGCACCGGCUAACUCUGUGCCAGCAGCCGCGGUAA